UCUAUAAGCCGCUUAAAAAUUACCCUCUAACCGAAGAGUGUUAGAUAGCGUCGAAGGACAAGAAGACCCUAUAGAGCUUAAUUUAAAUAAAUGUAAAAAAUUUACUAAAAUUCGGUUGGGGCGACCAGGGAAUUGCCCAUCAUCCCUAAGCAAAAGAUAAAUAUAUCAAAAUACUGACCCUUCUACAAGAUCAUUAAAACAAGCUACCUUAGGGAUAACAGGCUAAUCUCACUAGAGAGUCCUUAUCAAUAGUGAGGAUUGGCACCUCGAUGUUGGCUUAGGGAAUCUCUGUGACGCAAAAGUCAUAUAAAGAUGGUUUGUUCAACCAAUAACACCCUACAUGAGCUGAGUUCAGACCGGCGUAAGCCAGGUUAGUUUCUAUCCUCGAUCACUUUAUCUAUUUAUAGUACGAAAGGACCUAAUUAGAGUAAUAUUUACAUACGGGGAAUAAAUAUAAACCAAUCUAAAUAAAAUAAAUCAUAAACUAUGAGUAAGUUGGCAGAAUAGUGCCACC
rnacentral:rRNA from 1 species